GGGAAGAGGAAGAAAUGUUUGAAUUUAGGCUGAUAGUUCAAUGCAAAGUUGACUGUCUGAGAUUCAUUACAAAUAUUACUCUGUCUCUUUGAAUCCUUUCAUUCUGUCUGCAGUUGUUGGUGCCCUUGCUGAUGAAUUCUAUAAACGACACUCAUGGACACUGAUGAGAAUCUGAUAGUCCUGUGGAGAGCAAAGAGUUGAUCCUGAACCAGUGCUGGGGAUUGAAUCCAGGGCCUCACACAUGUUAAGCAUGGCUGUACCACUGGGCACACCCCAGCCCUGUCCUGGCUUCCCCACUACAGAGGCAGUGAUGAGGGGGAAGAGCCUGGAUGCUGUGUCACCCAGACAGACUCUCUCCUGCAACUUCUGCUGUCCUCCACUACACACAACUAGAGGCCAGCGUGAAAACAAAGGGCCUGUCUGGCCUGGUUACUGUUCUCCGUCUCUGAAGGGCUCCAGGCAGUGCAGGCACAGCCUCCCACCUUGCUAAUGCUCUGCCAUUACUCCUUCCUGUGCUGUCCUCCCUCCGAGGGUUGGAGGCCCACACCAGCGGAGAAGGUGCUGUUGACUCACUCUCACAACUACCAGUCUUUGUGUUAUCAGGGCCACAAUAAAACACUGCCUUUAAAAAUUCAGCAAUUAAAAGAC
rnacentral:lncRNA from 1 species